UACGGAGGAUGCGAGCGUUAUCCGGAUUUAUUGGGUUUAAAGGGUGCGUAGGCAGACUGUCAAGUCAGCGGUAAAAUUGAGAGGCUCAACCUCUUCCCGCCGUUGAAACUGGUGGUCUUGAGUGGAUGAGAAGUACGCGGAAUGCGUGGUGUAGCGGUGAAAUGCAUAGAUAUCACGCAGAACUCCGAUUGCGAAGGCAGCGUACCGGCAUCCAACUGACGCUGAGGCACGAAAGCGUGGGGAUCAAGCGGG
rnacentral:rRNA from 1 species